rnacentral:rRNA from 1 species
CAGUAGCCACGGUAAUACGUAGGGUGCGAGCGUUAAUCGGAAUUACUGGGCGUAAAGCGUGCGCAGGCGGUUCGUUAAGACAGAUGUGAAAUCCCCGGGCUUAACCUGGGAACUGCAUUUGUGACUGGCAAGCUAGAGUAUGGCAGAGGGGGGUGGAAUUCCGCGUGUAGCAGUGAAAUGCGUAGAUAUGCGGAGGAACACCGAUGGCGAAGGCGGCCCCCUGGGCCAAUACUGACGCUCAUGCACGAAAGCGUGGGGAGCAAACAGGAUUAGAUACCCCCGUAGUCCCUGUCUCUUAUAC